rnacentral:sRNA from 1 species
CUUUCUCUAUCUCCUUCUC